CUGAUUGCAGAAUAGGCUGGUAACUUAUUGAUCACUGUUCAGGGCAGCUGGAAGUGGAAUAAAAGAUAUAGGGAGGGGAAGGCCAGCAGCCACCCCAGAAACAAGUAGAUGAACUCUGGCUGGUAUAUGGGUGUAUGGGAAAACUGGGAUCCAGACACAUCAGCUCUUGAUCAAGUUAUGUGGCAGAUAUUUAAAAGAGAAUCAGAGAUGGGAGACUUACCGGUUUAUGAAAUUUGUAGCUACACAAAUUCCAAGACAGUGUUUCAUCACAAGUUUCUCCUCACUCUGUCUAAAGUGGUUGGCCAGCCAUUGUCCACUGCAAUAUUUUACACCCAUGUUGACAUAAAAAACCAUUUUGAUAAGUAGAUGGCUGAGAUCAAUAGAUUUGUGGUGUCAUUAACAGACAUGCAUUAUAGCAUACAGAGAACCGAUUAUUUAUUCAUACAUAGAAUAGUUCCCAAUGGACUAGACGUUUUACAACCUACAUGUAAAAUAGGCUCAGUGAGAUCAAAAUGUAAAUGUUAUAACUCAUGUAGAAAGGUUUGGAGAGUGGAGAAAGUGUAACUUUCUCAUAUAUUUGCUCAUUAGAAAGUCUAGUCCAUAACACAUGAAAUACCAACAAUGCCAUAUUCUCAGUUUCUGAUAGGCAUGAUAGCAGACUGAGUUCAGCAAGGAGUAUGGAAGGAGUGGAUUGCUCUAGAGAAUGUUCUAGAUGCUGUUGUGUCCUAGCUUACUCUGCUGAAGGAUACCGAGUAGAAUAUCUACUCCACUCCGUUACACUCGUUAACACUGCAUGCUACAACCAGCAUGCACUUCUGAUGUUGUUCAGAAAUUUACACAGAAAAUGGCCCUAAUUUGCUAACCUACUAACAUGCGGUAUUGUUCACACACCAGGAACAUCCUACAUGCUACUUAGCUAAAUUGCUGCUUCUGCUUUUUCAUUCCUAAAUAACAGCAGUCCAGCGAAUGACAACUCGUACAACCAAUGUGUAAGUGACUUGAUUUAAUAUUCCUAAAAUGUAACACCACUUCACAUAUGACUUAAAAUACAGUGAAAAUAUAGUUGUGUUUUCAUAUACAUGAAAACAAAUUUCAGCUUUGCAAGUACUUUGGGCCUGCCAUAGAAACGCUAUAAGAGAAGAGGUGACCACCUAUUAAUUAUUUUAGACGGGUGAUGACAUAUAAUAUUGCAAAAUAGGAGUAACCCAUCUUUUAAGAAUCUGAGCAGAAAUUAUUUUCAGUUGUCUGCAACUCCAUAAAUAUAUAAGAAAAAUCUUGACAUUAAACAUUGGUGAUGAAUCAUGAUUUCUUUAUCUUUAAUGCUUUAAGUUUCAUAGAUCACGGUAUGUAUGAACUCUUCACAGGCUUUCAUACCAUGAUUAUUGCUGUGGACUUUUUCUAUUUUGUUUUUGCUCGUUUAUCCCUGAAAAUCUAUAAAGAUGUCAAUGUAAUGUCAUGACUCAUCACACACCUCCUUUACACACACAUAUUUGCUUAAAAAUAUGUCUGCUAGGAGCACCUGAAAUAUUGCUAUAUUUUGAAAAUAAAACUUCUUCCUAUUUAUUUGAGUGCAGAACAUCAUUCUUUGGUUAACCUGCAGCUUGUUUCUACAUAUGUAUUCAUAUGAACCAUGGUUACUUGACUGUAGCAAUGAAAGUUAUCUGUAUACCUGAGUAAGUUUAUGGCCUGAGUUAAGUGUUUCUUUUUUCUUUUUCCUGCAGGGAAUAGAAUUCUUAACAUAGGUCACAGAAAACUUUACAAAAGUUUUAUACAAAGUUUCAUAUAUGAAAGACUGAAUGAAGGAAAGCACUCGGCAUUAUUUUUCCCCCUCCAAUCUUCUAACUUAAAUCUAGAUUUAUCUGCAUAUAAAUAUACAGAACAUUUUCUGUAAUUGCUCUCCUAGCACAGCAGAUGACUUGUCAGUAGAUAAUAAUAUACUUUACACUUAAUUAAUUCUUGCAUAUGUACUAUUAGAAAGCAUUUUACAAAUAAGACCAUACAGUAAUGACCACUUUACAGCUAGAGAGAGAAGAGAGAUAUUAAUCGAUUUGUUAAGAGCUAAGCAAAGGAUAAAAGCAGGAUCAAAUAUAGAACACUAGGAUAAAAUUCUUAUGUGCUUUAUUUCAACAAGAAGUUUGCUGUUCAUUUCUAUGGAGCAAUGAUUUUAUCCCAAGUGCCCUACCUUCUUAUCUAUAGGACAGCGUAGCCUAGCACUCAUUGCAUUUACCUGCACUUGAGAUAAUUGACCCCAGCCAGCCACUAAGCCCAACAGAGGGUGUUCACUCUUAAUAUAGUAUUUUUAUUUUAAUUUUUGUCUUUGUAUGGACUGCUGUGCUCGUGCAUGAGGUCCCUUUCACUUCAACUACCUGCAAUUAGAAAUUUAAAUAUAAACUAGUUCUCUGAGCCUCUUUUGUUGCUAGUGAAGAAAAGAUCUGCAACUCCAGAAUAUGCUUCAUUCCACCUAUCUGAAGACAAAGAUGAAUUAUCAGUGUAAGCUGGUCCUGCUGUCAGAAGAAGCUGUUCUGGAGUUUUCCCCCUUCUUCAUGUAUUCAUUGCAAAGCGUGAGAUGCAGCGUGUGGUGAGUGCAUCUGAGUUGAAACUAACCGGGGAGAAAAGUGGCUAGUUUUCAGCCAGUUCAGGUCUCUGGAAUGAUUUAUCACACAGUUGUACAGAUGUUGGUAUCAGCACAAGAGACAAACCUAUGCAGGGCUGGGAAGAAGGGGCUGUGAGUAAAAGCAGUGCAAGACUGCUUUCUUUGCUGGGUAGCACCAGGUUACAGGAUCUACCAAACUCUAGUCUUAUCCACCUGUGCUGGUUUUGGCUGGGACAGAGUUAUUUUUCUUUGCAGUAUGGGGCUGUGUUUUGGAUUUGUGCUGGAAACAGUGUUGAUAACCCAGGGAUGCGUUUGUUACUGCUGAGCAGGCUUGCACAGAGCCAAGGACUUUGCUGCUUCUUACAUCACCCCACUGCCAGCGGGCUGAGGUAGCCACAACAAAUUGGGCGACACAGCUGGGACAGCUGACCCCAACUGACCCAAGGGAUAUCCCAAUACCAUAUGACGUCAUGCUCAGCAUAUAGAUCUGGGGGAAGAAGAAUGAAAGGGGGAGGUAGCGUCAUUUGGAGUGAUGGCGUUUGUCUUCCCAAGUAACUGUUGUUACAUGUGCCAGAGCCCUGCUUCCCUGGGGAUGGCUGAACACCUGCCUGCAGAUGGAAAGUGGUGAAUGAAUUCCUUGUUUUGCUUUGCUUGUGUGUGUGGCUUUUGCUUUACUUAUUAAACUGCCUUUAUCUCAACCCAGGAGUUUUCUCACUUUUACUCUUCUGCUUCUCUCCCACCAAAGGGGAGCGAGUGAGCAGCCACGUGGGGCUGAGCUGCCGGCCAGGGUUAAACCACGACACCACCCAGCAUAUCAGGCAAGGUUAGUCUCACCUAGAGUUUAUGGGCAAUCAGUGCUAACUGGCAUUAACCUUAUCUGCUGAAGUUUAGUGUGAUAUCAGUACAAUGAGGCCUUUUUCAACUCUGCCUCCAUGAAGGGAUUUGAGAUGGUUAAAUAAUGAUCAGAUAAAUACUGUUACUGGAAGUGGAAACGCUGAGUCCUCUGUUUAUUUGUAACAUCUUACAUGCGAAGAGUUUGUUAGCUUCUAGACAUUCUAAUUAUUAAAAUUUUAAGAAAUAUAAAAUUGAAAAAGACUGAGCAGUUUCCCUCCAUUCUCUGAUUUUAUAUUUGAUCUAGUUAGAAUUCUCUUAGAUACUUAUUUAUUUUAGUGAGAAGGCAAGCCCAAAAGGAUUAAACCUUGCCUGCAGCUUUGUUUUUGAGCAAAAGUCAAUUAUGGCUGGCUAAAUAUCCCUGAGGUAAACAUGUGUGAGGUUGAUAAUGUGGUUAGAAUAGCAACAGCAGUUGUAAAGGAGACACUGGUGUUGAUGGAGUUAACAUAUUCCAUAUUGCUAUUGUGCAAAAUAUUACAGACACUUCCAGUCGGGGAGCAUCAAUCAAUUUUUGUUAACUUUCAGUAUGUUUUCUUCCUGAUGGAGCUAAUAUUACAUCUAAAUAUUAUGUGUGCUGCAUCUGUAAAUUUCAUUCCAUUUGCUUAAGGAAUCCUUCUGUAUGAAAGAUGUGAUUUAAAAAACUACAUUAUUUACAUGGUGCCAUUGGAUUGAUUGUAGAAUGGGUCAAAUCCUGCUAUCCUUAAUGAGGAAAAUAUUGACUAAUGACUUAAGUAAAUAUUAUCUGAAUUCAAUGAAUGUUUAAGUCUCUUGUAUUAAGUAUUCAGAGGAGCAGAACCUGGUUCAUAGGUUUUCCUCUUAUGAGUGCACUUAACCAGCCCUGCUCACACUUACUAUUUCCUUCUAUAUUUUGCCAAUCAAAAUUAUGCAGCUUCAACAGAUAAUGCUACAAACAUCAUAUAUCACAACAUUAUGCAACCCCAUAGCAGAAUUCACCGUGGCAACUGCAAGUUUCUCACAUUUAGAGAAAAGAACUGGAAUUAUGUUCCUACAGGCUGGCUGAGUGCUUUAACCACUGACAUUGGGUGAAGGGAGGCAGAAGCUGCAGUACAACUGUCUUUCAACUAUUUUGGAGAAAAGGCUGAUUUUACUGCAGGAGAAGGUAAAGGGACUGUGACAUGUAGAGAAAGAAUAGCAUUCCUUCACCAUAGAGAGCAGUGGGUCUUAGCACACCUCUGCAUCAGCUAGCUUGAAGUGACUCCUGACUAGGACAUUAACACAAAAAAUGCCAGCGGGAGGUCGCAGGCUCUUUCAAUGCAUUUUUUAGGAGCCUAAUGCCAAACGUUGGUCUAUGACUUUCCAUGAGUGGUAGGGCAUCUAACGCCUUUGCCCCUCUAGUCUUCUCAGUGUAUUUUGUCGCCCGAUCUAUAAAAUGGAAAUAAUUUUAUCUCUCGGGAUGCUGGGAAUAGAAGAUUGCAAGACACUCAACUAUUGAGGUGAUCUAUGGUGGUGGUUUGACCCUGGCUUGAUGCGAGGUGCCCACCAAAGCCGCUCUGUCACUCCGCUCCUCAACCAGACAGGGGAGAGAAAAUAUAACAAAGGCUCAUGGGCUGAGAUAAGGACAGGGAGAUCACUCAGCAGUUACAGUCACAGGCAAAACAGACUUGACUUGUGGAAAAUUAGUUUAACUUAUUACCAUUUAAAUCAGAAAAAACACCUUCCCCUCACCUUUCCCUUCUUCCUGGUCUUAACUUAAUUCCCUAUUUCUCUACCUCCUCCCCCUGAGCAGCACGGAGGAUGAGGAAUGGAGGUUAUGGUCAGUUCAUCACAUGUCUCUGCAGCUCCUUCCUCCUCACGCUCUUCCUCUGCCCCAGUGUGGGGUCCCUCCCAUGGUAGACAGUCCUCUAUGAACUUCUCCAACAUGAGUCCUUCCCACAGGCUGCAGUUCUUCAUACAGUGCUCUAGCCUGUGUCCCCUCCACAGGGCGCAGACCUUGAGGAACAGAUUGCUCCACCGUGGGUCCUCCGUGGGAUCACAAGCCCUGCCAGCAAACCUGCUCCAGCCCAGGUAUCCCUCAGGUCACAGCCUCCUUUGGGCAUCCACCUGCUCCGGUGUGGGGUUCUCCAUGGGCUGCAGGUGGAUAUCUGCUCCACUGUGGGCCUCCAUGGCUACAGGGACACAGCCUGCCUCACCAUGGUUUUCACCACAGGCUGCAGGGGAAUCUCUGCUCUGGCACCUGAAGUCCCCCUGCCCCUCCUUCUUCACUGACCUGGGUGUCUGCAGAGUUGCUGCUCUCACACAGUCUCACUCCCCUGUCUCAGGGGUGCAGAUUUCCUACACAUACCCCCACCCCACCCCCCACCCCCCAAUAUGCUAUCCCAGAGGCACUACCAUCAUCACUGAUGGGUGCUUCCUUGGCCAGCAGCAGGUCUGUCUCAGAGCCGGCUGGCAUUGGCUCUCUUGGAUGUGGGGGAAGCUUCUGGCAUCUUCUCACAAAAGCCACCCCUGUAGCCCCCUCCCCUUACCAAAACCUUGCCGUGCAAACCCACUACAGCCAUGGUUAAAAUAACCAAACAUUGACAGAUAGAAAAAAGGUGAAGAAGUAACUUGAAUGUAUUAUACCCAUUUUGUUGAAAUGGCUAGCCAAGAAAAGAACCAGUAAAACUAACAGGGAUAGGUAAUUUUACAACAGGUACUGUUUUUAUUUCUUAGCAAUCUAUGAAAUACCAUUAUACAGGAUAUAACCUGAUUGCCAUAGGUUGAAUUAAUCCUUUCCCACUGUCUUCUUAAGGUAUUUUGCAUUUAUUUACUAGACUGUUGUGUGUUCUAGGUGGUCGUUUUCCUGGAUGUUCCAUUUGCUGUCCUCUUCCCUCUGCUCUUCCAGAAAGGUUACGGUAAACAAAAAGGAAAUCAGUGACUGAUAUGACAAGAGAUGGAAGAACAAGAUUCUCAAACGCACUUAAAACAAGUCCCUUGUCAUGCUCAUUACACGGAUCUUGGCUUCUGCAGUGAGUGAUGUGAAUGGGGAUCUGAUUCGUCCCACAGCCCUCUGAACUGAUAGAGGGCUGGCACUGGAUGAAGUGGAGGUGUCACUGGUGGGCAAAAAGUAUUAAAACUUUCUUUACAUGAAAUUCUUUAUAAUUCUUUGUAGUAUACCAAUGUAAUAUGUGUUUUGUAACAUUUUUGUGUAAAAAAUGUCUGUAAAAAAGCAUAGUUCACAUGGAAUUGUUUUAUGCAAAGUAGGAUAAUGCUUGUAACUCUUCUAUAUGGGUUAUUUCAGGCUGCCCUCGUCUUUCUUUAGCCGCUCUGUCCCCGACACUAAAAUCAAACCCCAGGUGUCAUCCCACAUCAGCUCAGCCUAAAAUAUCAUGUAACGGCCUUUCAUGUGCUCACAUUUUCAUGAUAUGAAAUACAAUAGACUAAAAAGAUCAUACCUGGAUUGUUGCAUUAAGUACGUUCAAUACAAAUCUCUAAAUAAAAAAGUCCAUCAAUGGAAAAGAAUUCCAAUAUCUUGCCUUUUUCUUUGUUUACUCUAAUUAUGUAGGUUAUAAAAUUGAACCAUUUUUGGUAAACCCCCUUUCUUGUC